AUCUUACGGAAUCCCCGAGGGUCUCUGCAAGUG
rnacentral:sRNA from 1 species